rnacentral:rRNA from 1 species
CCUACGGGAGGCAGCAGUAAGGAAUAUUGGGCAAUGGGGGCAACCCUGACCCAGCCAUGCCGCGUGCGGGAUGAAGGCCCUUUGGGUUGUAAACUGCUUUUGAAUGGGAAGAACCGACAGUUUGCGAACUGUUUUGACGGUACUAUUAGAAUAAGCACCGGCUAACUCCGUGCCAGCAGCCGCGGUAAUACGGAGGGUGCAAGCGUUAUCCGGAUUUAUUGGGUUUAAAGGGUGCGUAGGCGGCUUUAUAAGUCUUGGGUUAAAGGCAGCAGCUUAACUGUAUGCAUGCCCCAGAUACUGUGAAGCUUGAGUGACCUGGAGGUAGCUGGAAUUCCCUGUGUAGCGGUGAAAUGCAUAGAUACGGGGAGGAAUACCGAUUGCGAAGGCAUGUUACUACGGGUAAACUGACGCUGAUGCACGAAAGCGUGGGGAUCAAACAGGAUUAGAUACCCUGGUAGUCCACGCCGUAAACGAUGAUUACUAGUUGUUGGGUGAUAGCUCAGUGACCAAGGGAAACCGAUAAGUAAUCCACCUGGGGAGUACGCCGGCAACGGUGAAACUCAAAUGAAUUGACGG